CCUAACGAAUGAAGAUUUGUAUUUGUCAUAUAGUCGAUGAUCCCAAACGCCACAGACAUAAACUGAGUCAAAAUGGAUUAUUGAUAAGACAAUCGUCUGAUCAUCUUGAUAUAAAUUUAAACAACAUAUUGAACAAUAAUUAUUAUUUAACAGAAUUACUUGUAAUGCACUAUACUGAGUCUCGACGUGAAAGAAUACGAUAACCCUCUUUAAAUGAAAGAAAAUCAAUUUAGAGUUUUAAGAAAUAGGUAUAAUAGAAACAAAUGAUAAAUGAUAUGGUUUUACUCACUUGUUGGCGUUUUUUGCGUGUGGCCGUGUGUGUACAUGUACGUCUGUGUGUGUGCGUGUGUUUAACUGUGUGUGCUACAUCGUUCAGAAUGAUAAUAACAACUACAUAUCACAUAGUAACAUAGCGCUAAACCAUCUCCGGCGAACACUUCCCGCGAUUCACACACUGGUGGUGUACACGGCGGAUCACAUAAAACUCGGUGGUUCGGUGGCGGUCGGAUACGCGAAAACUACCACUGUUCAUCCGGUGGAAAUGGUAAGUUAUCGGCGUUGUCGUUGAGGCCGUUUUGUUUCGUUUUGAUUUUUAUGUUUUGUUUUGUUUAUCUAAUGAACAAUCGAAAAGUGGAGACGACGGGAAACAGCAGAAAUUAAUAUUAAUUUGAAAACGCGAUGCGCAUGCGCCGAUAGACUGAGCAAUGGAUUUCGUGAUACGCGUCAAUUAAUCGGAGUGCGCGUGCGUCGGGACUUUUCCCACGGUCUGGGAAUUUUCAUUCCGAAAACGUGUACACCCCUUUCCUAUUGGAUGUUAGUUGUUACUUGUUACUUUAUUUAUUUUAGAAGUUCUUAUUUGCAUAAUAUGUUGUUAUUUGUUAUUAUUAGUUAUUGUUAUUGUUUUACCAUAUUUAAACUUCUGUUUUGAUAAAAUAUUAUUUUCGUUAACUGCAGUCCUUGCAGCAAACAUAUUAAUAUAACGCAUUGUAUACGAGAUGAGUAUAACAUGAAUUACUUUAUAUCAAAGUACCUAUACAAAUUACAUAAUGUAAUUAUGCAUUUAUUUUAC